AUUGAACGCUGGCGGCAGGCCUAACACAUGCAAGUCGAGCGAGCGGCGGACGGGUGAGUAAUGUAUGGGAAUCUGCCUGACGGAGGGGGAUAACUACUGGAAACGGUAGCUAAUCCCGCUUCCCAUCAGCUGUGCCCAAGUGGGACUGGCUCGUAGGUGGGGUAACGGCUAACCUCGGCGACGAUCCCUAGCUGGUCUGAGAGGUUCACCGGCCCCACUGGAACUGAGACACGGUCCAGCCUCCUACGGAAGGCAGCAGGGGGUAAGAAUGCACAAUGGGCGCAAGCCUCAUGCAGCCAGGCCGCGUGUGUGAAGAAGGCCUUCGGUUUGUAAAGCACUUUCAUCGGGGAGGCGUUACCCGCAGAAGAAGCACCGGCUAACUCCGUGCCAGCAGCCGCGGUAAUAC
rnacentral:rRNA from 1 species